GGUCCCAAGGGUUGGGCUGUUCGCCCAUUAAAGCGGUACGCGAGCUGGGUUUAGAACGUCGUGAGACAGUUCGGUCCCUAUCCGCCGCGCGCGUAGGAGUCUUAAGGAAGGCUGUCCCUAGUACGAGAGGACCGGGACGGACGAACCUCUGGUGUGCCAGUUGUUCCGCCAGGAGCAUUGCUGGUUGGCUACGUACGGGAGGGAUAACCGCUGAAAGCAUCUAAGCGGGAAGCUCGUUCCAAGAUGAGGACUCCCACCCACUUGAUGGGGUAAGGCCCCCGGCAGACCACCGGGUUGAUAGGCCGGAAGUGGAAGCACCGUGAGGUGUGUCGAGCUGACCGGUACUAAUAGGCCGA
rnacentral:rRNA from 11 species